rnacentral:tRNA from 1 species
AACAUUAUAGUUUAUUAAAAAUAUUUGGUUUGCGUCCUAAAGAUGGGUUGUUACUCUUAUGUUG